UUUCCGUAGGUGAACCUACGGAAGGAUCAUUAAUGAACGAGCUCGCGUGCUUCUAACUAUUCCAAGCCUCUGUGAACUGGGCCCUUCAGGGCUAUUCUACAAACUUGGUGUAAUGAACCUCAGAUAUCAUAACAAAACAACACUUUCAACAACGGAUCUCUUGGUUCUG
rnacentral:misc_RNA from 1 species